GACGAACGCUGGCGGCGUGCUUAACACAUGCAAGUCGAACGGAAAGGCCCUGCUUUUGUGGGGUGCUCGAGUGGCGAACGGGUGAGUAACACGUGAGUAACCUGCCCUUGACUUUGGGAUAACUUCAGGAAACUGGGGCUAAUACCGGAUAGGAGCUCCUGCUGCAUGGUGGGGGUUGGAAAGUUUCGGCGGUUGGGGAUGGACUCGCGGCUUAUCAGCUUGUUGGUGGGGUAGUGGAUUACCAAGGCUUUGACGGGUAGGCGGCCUGAGAGGGUGACCGGCCACAUUGGGACUGAGAUACGGCCCAGACUCCUACGGGAGGCAGCAGUGGGGAAUAUUGCACAAUGGGCGGAAGCCUGAUGCAGCAACGCCGCGUGCGGGAUGACGGCCUUCGGGUUGUAAACCGCUUUCGCAUGUGACGAAGCGUGAGUGACGGUAAUGGGUAAAGAAGCACCGGCUAACUACGUG
rnacentral:rRNA from 1 species